rnacentral:rRNA from 1 species
UACGUAGGUGGCAAGCGUUGUCCGGAUUUACUGGGCGUAAAGGGCGCGUAGGUGGCUGAGCAAGUCAACGGUGAAAGCUCGACGCUCAACGUCGAGUCGGCCGUCGAGACUGCUUUGCUCGAGCACUGUAGAGGCAGAUGGAAUUCCGGGUGUAGCGGUGGAAUGCGUAGAGAUCCGGAAGAACACCGGUGGCGAAGGCGGUCUGCUGGGCAGUUGCUGACACUGAGGCGCGACAGCGUGGGGAGCAAACAGG